rnacentral:rRNA from 1 species
ACUGAACGCUGGCGGCAUGCCUUACACAUGCAAGUCGAACGGUAACGGGCCUUCGGGUGCCGACGAGUGGCGAACGGGUGAGUAAUACAUCGGAACGUGCCCGAUCGUGGGGGAUAACGAGGCGAAAGCUUUGCUAAUACCGCAUACGAUCUACGGAUGAAAGCAGGGGACCGCAAGGCCUUGCGCGGACGGAGCGGCCGAUGGCAGAUUAGGUAGUUGGUGGGAUAAAAGCUUACCAAGCCGACGAUCUGUAGCUGGUCUGAGAGGAUGAUCAGCCACACUGGGACUGAGACACGGCCCAGACUCCUACGGGAGGCAGCAGUGGGGAAUUUUGGACAAUGGGCGCAAGCCUGAUCCAGCCAUGCCGCGUGCAGGAUGAAGGCCUUCGGGUUGUAAACUGCUUUUGUACGGAACGAAAAGCCUUCUUUUAAUACAGGAGGGUCAUGACGGUACCGUAAGAAUAAGCACCGGCUAACUACGUG